rnacentral:Y_RNA from 1 species
GGCUGGUCUGAGUGUAGUGGUAUUUACAACUAAUUGAUCACAAUCAGUUAUAGAUUUCCUUUGUUCCUUCUCCACUCCCACUGCUUCACUUGACUAGCCUUAA